UCCCAGGCAAGAAUACUGGAGUGGGUUGCCAUUUCCUUUUCAGGGAAUCCUCCUGACCCAGGGAUCCAACCUGCAUCUCGUCUCCUGCAUUAGCAGGCGGAUUCUUUACCACUAGCCGCCGGGGAAGCCCUAAGGAUGGGCCUAUGGGGGUCUCCGUGGGGUAGGAGCUGGGAUCAGGGCACUGCCAGCGCAGAUGUGGACCGAGUGCCUUCUCUUGGAUAGAAACUGAGGAUCCGGAGGUCAACGUGCGAUGUGGUCCUGCCCUCUCAGAUCUUCGUGCGGCGCUGCCCCGGCUGCAUCUCUAGGACUCGUGGCCCGCUCUCCUCCUGGACUCUGGCGGUGGUGGCACAGGGAGCAGUCUUCGCUGGUUUUCUGGAACCCUGGACAGCUCCCCGAAGAUCUCAUCCUUCCUAACUCCUGGGCCUCCCCUGGAUAAAGGCCCCUCCUGGUUGGUGCUUGGCCGAGGACAGUGGCGGAGCGUGAGGGAGGCUGGCAGCCCAUCAUCCAUCCC